AUUGAACGCUGGCGGCAGGCUUAACACAUGCAAGUCGAGCGGAGAUGAGGUGCUUGCACCUUAUCUUAGCGGCGGACGGGUGAGUAAUGCUUAGGAAUCUGCCUAUUAGUGGGGGACAACAUUCCGAAAGGAAUGCUAAUACCGCAUACGCCCUACGGGGGAAAGCAGGGGAUCUUCGGACCUUGCGCUAAUAGCUGAGCCUAAGUCGGAUUAGCUAGUUGGUGGGGUAAAGGCCCACCAAGGCGACGAUCUGUAGCGGGUCUGAGAGGAUGAUCCGCCACACUGGGACUGAGACACGGCCCAGACUCCUACGGGAGGCAGCAGUGGGGAAUAUUGGACAAUGGGCGGAAGCCUGAUCCAGCCAUGCCGCGUGUGUGAAGAAGGCCUUUUGGUUGUAAAGCACGUUAAGCGAGGAGGAGGCUACCUGGAUUAAUACUCUAGGAUAGUGGACGUUACUCGCAGAAUAAGCACCGGCUAACUCUGUGCCAGCCGCCGCUGUAACAC
rnacentral:rRNA from 1 species